rnacentral:rRNA from 1 species
GACGAACCGUGCGAACGUUGUUCGGAAUCACUGGGCUUAAAGGGCGCGUAGGCGGCAAAUCAAGUCCGGGGUGAAAUCCCUCGGCUCAACUGAGGAAUUGCACGGGAAACUGACGGGCUUGAGUUCGGGAGAGGGAAGCGGAAUUCCGGGUGUAGCGGUGAAAUGCGUAGAUAUCCGGAGGAACACCGGUGGCGAAGGCGGCUUCCUGGACCGACACUGACGCUGAGGCGCGAAAGCUAGGGGAGCAAACGGG